UACGUAGGUGGCAAGCGUUAUCCGGAUUUACUGGGUGUAAAGGGAGCGUAGACGGCAAUACAAGUCGGAAGUGAAAUACCCGGGCUUAACCUGGGAACUGCUUUGGAAACUGUAUGGCUGGAGUGCUGGAGAGGUAAGCGGAAUUCCUAGUGUAGCGGUGAAAUGCGUAGAUAUUAGGAAGAACACCAGUGGCGGAGGCGGCCUGCUGGACGACAACUGACGGUGAGGCGCGAAAGCGUGGGGAGCAAACAGG
rnacentral:rRNA from 1 species